rnacentral:rRNA from 1 species
CCUACGGGAGGCAGCAGUGAGGAAUAUUGGUCAAUGGCCGGAAGGCUGAACCAGCCAAGCCGCGUGAAGGACGAAGGUGCCAAGCAUUGUAAACUUCUUUUGUCAAGGGACAAAAUCAGGCUCGAGAGCCUGACCGAGGGUACUUCAAGAAAAAGCAUCGGCUAACUCCGUGCCAGCAGCCGCGGUAAUACGGAGGAUGCGAGCGUUAUCCGGAUUUAUUGGGUUUAAAGGGUGCGUAGGCGGGCUGUUAAGUCAGCGGUAAAAGCCCGGGGCUCAACCCCGGCGAGCCGUUGAAACUGGGUGGCUUGAGAUGUCGAGAGGUAGGCGGAAUGCGCAGUGUAGCGGUGAAAUGCUUAGAUAUUGCGCAGAACUCCGAUUGCGAAGGCAGCAUACCGGCGGCGAUCUGACGCUGAUGCUCGAAAGCGCGGGUAUCGAACAGGAUUAGAUACCCUUGUAGUC